rnacentral:rRNA from 1 species
GGAUAAGGAUUGGCUCUAAGGGUUGGGCACGUUGGGCCUUGGGCGGACGCCUUGGGAGCAGGCUGCCACUAGUCGGGCAACCGACCGGCGGCGGCCAGCAUCCGAGUGUUGAUGCCCUUGGCAGGCUUCGGCCGUCCGGCGUGCGGUUAACAACCAACUUAGAACUGGUACGGACAAGGGGAAUCUGACUGUCUAAUUAAAACAUAGCAUUGCGAUGGCCAGAAAGUGGUGUUGACGCAAUGUG